UGCGGCUGGAUCCCCUCCUUUCCAGAGGCGCGCGUUCUGCGUGUCCAGUGUCCACACUUAUCGGUUUGUUUGCUGUUACAGCCAAGGGUCUGUAGCUCAGGUGGUUAGAGCACCGUCUUGAUAAGGCGGGGGUCGUAGGUUCAAGUCCUACCAGACCCACCAAGUUAUCCGAGGGGGAUUAGCUCAGCUGGGAGAGCACCUGCUUUGCAAGCAGGGGGUCGUCGGUUCGAUCCCGUCAUCCUCCACCAUCACUCUGCCGAGUGAGCACGGAUACCCUGGAAUUGGUGGUCAAAGGAAAGCAUUUGAUGAGUGCUUCCCUUUGGCAUUGCCAAGCGAUCGUGGGUCUGACCUGCGGAUCGGCUGUUCUUUAACAAUAUGGGAUGUAGUAAAGGUGUCGCGCGAGCGUUGAUGAGACGCUGCAGUACCCAACGCGAUACCGGGUUGUGAUUGUAUCAACCAAAGUAUUUAAGUGAUCGAAAGAUGACUUGGAAUACGGCACAAAUGCGAGAACUCACCUGUAGCAGGAUGUCUCACUGAGACACACUUGUUAUAGGGUCAAGCGAACAAGUGCAUGUGGUGGAUGCCUUGGCGAUCACAGGCGAUGAAGGACGCGGUAGCCUGCGAAAAGCUUCGGGGAGCUGGCAAACGAGCUUUGAUCCGGAGAUGUCCGAAUGGGGAAACCCGG
rnacentral:misc_RNA from 1 species